GUUGUUCUUCUCCUUUUCCCAACUUGAUACCAUUUAGAUACUAAUCCGCCUUCCCGUUUUUGCUACCAAAGUGCAUAACCUCACAUUUAUCUACAUUAGACUGCAUCUGCCGUGCAUCUGCCCACUCACCCAACCUGUCCAAGUCACCCUGCAUGCCCAUAGCAUCCUCCUUACAGUUCACGCAAUGAACGGGGUUUAUGGGUUGCACCCAGCAAAGUGACAGGCAUAGCUGGGUCCCAUCCGAUUGCCCAGGGCUACGCCUUGCAUUUGGAGGAAGUGGGAGGAGUAGAAGAAAAAGUUUUCGCGAGGUCGUCGCCGGUCAAUUAAAAAUAUUACUUAGGAAUCCUAGAGGGAUCUGUAUCUAUCUCUAUACAUCUAUCUGUCUAUCAACCUCAAUCCAUCCAUCUCUCUCCAUCCAUGUAUCUUGGCCGGCCUGGGCAAUAUGGGCGGGAGAGUCCAUUUUCGCGCUGUACAACUCUAUGAUUUUUGCCCCGUGUUCGUUCCUCCGACGACUGUUGACCAUUCUCCAAUUGCAUUGCAGGAAGAGGGCGGGGACUGAGUCAGCCACACGCCUCCCGCGGCAGCUCUUCUCGCUUGACAUUCGCUCAUCUCUGCUCUGCCGCCACAGUAUCCGCCCGCAGUAGACGGCGGUGCCGCGCAGUUUCAUGAGAUGGCUGACAAUUUGUUCCUCUUCGUCGUGUUCUCGCUGGCUCUCGGUUCAUGCCGGGCGGAUGAGAUCCAACAGUCGCCCAACUCCCUCAGCGUUAGGGAGGGCGAAUCCGGGGAGAUGAGUUGUGUACAGACGGGAACGGUCCGUGACUACAUGAUGUGGUACCGUCAGACUGAGGGAGCCGGAUUGGCGCUGAUUGGGAACGUCUAUAGUAGCCAGGAACCUCAGUACGAAAAGGGAUUUCAGAGCGGGUUCUUAAUCAGCGCGGAAGCGGGAAACAAGAGAUUCAAUCUCCAGAUCCGCAGCGUGAGCGACAGAGAUGAGGCGCGAUAUUUUUGCGCAGCUAAAGAAGGUACACAGCGACUCAGAGAGGAAUAGAGCAUGAGCAAAAACCCCACACAGAACACCAAAAGAGUAAAGCAAAGGAAAAGUGCCACCGGGUCACAAUGUCCCUUCCUGACAAGACGCCGAGUUAAACUGGUCUCUCCUUCCUGGACAUGGAUCAUAUCCCUCCA